UGGGUAGAACUGAGUCAGCAGAAGACACUCGUUGACCUGAGUCUUUCUCUAAACAACACACCUUCACCUCUCAGCUGGACAUCUACGGUUCUGAUCGUCCCAUUGUAUGCCCUUGCACAGUGGUGGCUGCACCACUGAUGGAAUUUCACAUCGGAUACAGGAAUGCUGAAAUGAAGAUGUGAAAAACAGUAAAGCUCUUGAGAAGUUCCAGUAAAGACUCGGGAAAUCGCUACAAUGGCUGUCCAGAUGCCUUGUGCCCUGUGGUUUAUUAAUGGGCACCGCCUUUUGAUCACCCCUGCUUGAAUGCUGUCUGCUGGAAAUGAGCCUUCCGCUGCUUCUAAUUUCCUUAACCCCACCCCCACAAAUAAAAAAAGCUUGCUUUUAUGGA